AGGAUAUUAUACUCUGAGUACAGUGAUGUGCAAGUUCAAGUUUUGACUGCUUUCAGCUGUAACAAAACAAAUUAUCUGAUGAAAGCAGUAACCAUGAGAAAAGGAAAGGAUGUCCAAGGAGAAGGUAUGUUAAUUACUGGUGAUGAUAAUGUUAUUGAUGUAAAUAGGGUAUAUACAGCAAUAAAAUAGAGAGAACAAUAGUAAUCUGUAGACAAAAAAUAAAAAAAAAACUAAA